rnacentral:tRNA from 1 species
GGAGGCAGAUGGAGGCUGGUGUCUCCCCCGGACUUCAAAUCCGGUGGUCUCGCGUAGAGCGGGACGGUAGGUUCGAUUCCUAUCUGCCUCCGCCA